GAUCAUGGCUCAGGAUGAACGCUAGCUACAGGCUUAACACAUGCAAGUCGAGGGGCAGCAUGGUCUUAGCUUGCUAAGGCCGAUGGCGACCGGCGCACGGGUGAGUAACGCGUAUCCAACCUGCCUUACACGUCUUGGACAGCCUUCUGAAAGGGAGAUUAAUACAAGAUGUUAUCAUGAGUAAGCAUUUCCGCAUGAUUAAAGGUUUACCGGUGUAAGAUGGGGAUGCGUU
rnacentral:rRNA from 1 species